AGCGAACGUUAGCGGCGGGCCUAACACAUGCAAGUCGCACGAGAAAGUCCCUUCGGGGACGAGUACAGUGGCGCACGGGUGAGUAACACGUAGGUAAUCUACCCUCUGGCGGGGGACAACGUUCCGAAAGGAGCGCUAAUACCGCACAAGACCACGACCUCCACGGGGGUUGCGGGAAAAGGUGGCCGCUCCAUGGAAGCUACCACCGAAGGAUGAGCCUGCGUCCCAUCAGCUAGUUGGUAGGGUAAUGGCCUACCAAGGCGAAGACGGGUAGCUGGUCUGAGAGGAUGAUCAGCCACACUGGUACUGGAACACGGACCAGACUCCUACGGGAGGCAGCAGUGAGGAAUAUUGGGCAAUGGGCGAAAGCCUGACCCAGCCACGCCGCGUGAGUGAUGAAGGCCUUCGGGUUGUAAAGCUCUGUGGGGAGGGACGAAAAACCGUGGUUCGAAUAGGGCCAUGGCUUGACGGUACCUCCUUAGCAAGCACCGGCUAACUCUGUGCCAGCCGCCGCUGUAAUAC
rnacentral:rRNA from 1 species